UGUAGUGGUAUGAGGCACCAUGGCCUCAAGCUCGGCUCUGUUUGCCUCUCAAGCUCUUAGCCAAUCAUGGUGCAGACAGAGGGUAUAAAAGUAGGCUGUGUUCCUCCCCCUGACCUCUCGCUUCCUGCCUCUUCGGCCCGCCCACUUCCGGGUCGUCGCCCAUACUGCUCACCUCGGAGCACAGGUAGGCUCACAUUGGCAUGUGAUUUGUGCACCCUCGUCUGGGUUUUAUUUAAUCUAAAUCGUCGUUGAUUGCUAGAUCUGGCAUUUGGCGUCUGGGGACGAGACUGUCGGGCGCGUUCACCGCUGUCAUCCAAGCCUAGGCGAGUCAUGGCGAGCUACCUUUUGUUUGUUGUUGUUAGCCAGGUGCUAAGCCCCUUUCCGCUCCUUCCCUCAUAGUUGUCGGUCUCCUCGUGCAGCGCGUGGCUGUCUCCGCCUGCUGUGCAGGCUUUCUUCACCCCUCUCCCUCUUGGACGGGACUAAAACUCCCGGCGGAUGAACCGGACCUUGCAGACCCUGAAAGCUAAGUACGGUUAUGGCUGGUUAGCCCCGGCUACCUGGAUACUGCCGCUGUGCUGCUGCUGUUGCAUCGCUGCCGCUUUGCUGCCGUUAUUAAACGCUUCCGCUGUUUGCCGGCCUGCUUCGGGGUGCGGUCGGCUGCCUCACGCCGACUCCCCUUUGUUGACUUUGUCCCCCAGCAGCCGUGCGAGGUGCGGAGCGAGUGUGUUACCCGGGUGGGCGCGACUGCGAGCCCCCAGUUCGGACUGUGUGUGAGGAUGUGUGUUUGACUUUUUAAAGGCACUCUGUGAAGGUCGCUCAUUCAUUUCGUUUUGUUCUUUUUGGGUAAUUUCUUGGUUUGUUUGUUUUAUUUGUUUUGUUUAAGUGAUUUGUUUAUUUUUUGGAAACGUACUUAUUAUACUUUAAUGGGUAAUGUUUUAGUUGGAGAUCCUUUUAGUUAGUGCUUUGAAUGAAUUAAUUUUUGGUUUUCUGAGUUUAUCUCUGGCCAGAGAGUCGUAAUUUGUUUCCUUUGUUUGAUUUCUGAUUCAUUUUGAACAUUAUUACCCAGUUAAAUUGAUUAGUUAUUGAUUUGGUUAUGUUUUGGUGUGUUUCCUUUAUGAGUCCCUUGCCCUAAUUGUGUUUCUUUUCCCCCUACAGAGCUGACGGCCAACGGUGGUGGUGGUGGUCCUCCAAGGUGGUGGUGAUCCCUGAGUGUGUGCGUUUUAUUUGACUCCCCGUUUGAAGAUUUAUUUGUGUGCACCUUAUGUUUGCUGUGAGUGGGGUGUUCUCUUUUCUUUGGACGUCACCAGUUUUGACCCCUCCUCUAGCCCGUACGCCUCAGCCUGUAUCCCUGUUUUAGUUGGGCUCUGUCAUUAUCAUAUUUUGCAUCUUAUUAAUUAUGUCGACCUUUUAUUAAUAAAUUUUGUACAUUGAUUAUUGAUUCUCGUCUCCUGCCUCCCUGGUUGAACGAACCUGAGUGCCUCAGAUAACAAGGUAAUUGACCUUUAGAUACGGGUCCUUGGGCCCUCUCCCAAGGUGGCAUUGUUGGACAACAAAGUUCGGGUGGUACCCAAACUGAUAAUAUAUAGCUCGUGCCGCCACAAACUGAAAUCAUCCACCAUCAUCUGCCUGAUCAGAAUGGGAUAGAGCGUAGCUGUGUUUACAGCAUAACACCUUCAAUUCCUUAAACCAGAGCGCGAGAAACACAAGAAACACAGGAACAUCUGUUCACUGACAAAAACUAAAAGAAAAGUGAACAAAGGUCAGUAUAACUUGUGUGUAAACACAUUGGUCUGUAGUUUGUUAAUUAUCAUGAAUAUUAUUUUUCUUAUAACUUUUUUUUUAUUAUACAAUGAACUUCCAACAACUUUAUUUCAUAAGGAUAUAACCUAAAAGAUCUUUAAAAUGUAUAAAUAUACGUAUAUUCAGACAUACAAAACAUCCCCACUUUUCCAAAAAUAAAAAUUACAAAAAGCUCCAAAAAGCUACAGUAUUUGCAUGUUUUAGUGGCUCGAUUUUUCCUCUAAGGUAGAUUUCUCUGGAGCUCCCACCUACAUAUUUGUUUGUUUGCUGAUGGUUUCUGUAUCCUGUCAUAGUUGAUCUUAUAAUCAGCAGCAUCCCUUUUCUGAGUCAGCUGGCUCAUUUGUAGACAGAUAAAGUCCUUCACUGCAGGCUGCCUUUUUUAACCGCUCUGUAUUAAAGCAGUAAGGUCAUAUCUGCUGCUCUACAACCUUUUAAAAAGAAAAAUGUUUUCUUCUGCUCUUUAACAGAAAACAUCAUUAACAUUCACAAGGGCCUAUACUGAGAGACCCUCACCAUGACUCAUAUGCUGAAAAUUUUCCGUCAGAAAUUGUUGUUUUUUUUGGCUUCAGUCCCUGUUUACUUUCAUACCACAGGUCCAAAUUCCCCCCCUGGUUAUGUUGUGCAUUAAAAAGUUUGCUGUUCAGGAGCCAACUUCCAAAUUGGUUGUCAUAGACACAACAUGUGUCCUCAUUGUUCAUUUCUGCAGCUGAUUUCCAAACAAUACCAGCCUCAUGCUUCCCAGUGGACGGCGGAUGCUUGUUGCAUGUUGUUGUGCAAGAGAUUAAACAUGAAUGGACAAAUAAAGCAAUCACCGGCAUGUUUACAGCCUUUAUGUUACUGCACAGAAUAAUAAGACAACCAUGACACUAACGGCUUCCAGUAAAUUGGAAAAUUAAUGUAAACAUGUAUGAUGUGCCUUAGAAAAUGCACCAAUGGUACUCAUGGUGCACAUUAUUUAGCAACAAAGCUCAAGAGCCAGGGCUUAAAAUAUGCAAAACCAUCAUUAUGGUGCUUCAGCGAUAAUGCUUGUUGCCUGCAAUUACUUGCUUCAUAAGUAUUUCAAUCUAUAGUGAGGGCUCUGCCACUGAUGCCAGCUCUGGUUUGCUUCAAAUAUUUGCUCCUGGGCGUUUGGGGGCAAGUCUAACCCGAACAGAAAGUACAGACUACACAAGGCAGACAAGAUACUUAUGAUGACUUAUGUAUUUAUUUAAAAAGCUGUCCAAUAAAGAGCUAUGACUCCUUGCAUCACUCUGCAGUAGCUUUAACUGGUUUGACAGUACCCUAUUGCCUGCUUACCUUGAAUUUAUGGCACAUCCUUAAAAGUAUGUUGAGCUAUAUGCCAAAGU
rnacentral:lncRNA from 1 species